rnacentral:rRNA from 1 species
UACGUAGGGUGCAAGCGUUAAUCGGAAUUACUGGGCGUAAAGCGUGCGCAGGCGGUUUUGUAAGUCUGUCGUGAAAGCCCCGGGCUCAACCUGGGAAUUGCGAUGGAGACUGCAAGGCUUGAAUCUGGCAGAGGGGGGUAGAAUUCCAAGUGUAGCAGUGAAAUGCGUAGAGAUGUGGAGGAACACCGAUGGCGAAGGCAGCCCCCUGGGUCAAGGUUGACGCUCAUGCACGAAA